AUUGAACGCUGGCGGAAUGCCUUACACAUGCAAGUCGAACGGCAGCACGGGAGCAAUCCUGGUGGCGAGUGGCGAACGGGUGAGUAAAGUAUCGGAACGUGCCCAGUCGUGGGGGAUAACGUAGCGAAAGUUACGCUAAUACCGCAUACGAUCUAUGGAUGAAAGCGGGGGAUCGCAAGACCGCGCGCGAUUGGAGCGGCCGAUAUCAGAUUAGGUAGUUGGUGGGGUAAAGGCUCACCAAGCCGACGAUCUGUAGCUGGUCUGAGAGGACGACCAGCCACACUGGGACUGAGACACGGCCCAGACUCCUACGGGAGGCAGCAGUGGGGAAUUUUGGACAAUGGGCGCAAGCCUGAUCCAGCCAUGCCGCGUGCAGGAUGAAGGCCUUCGGGUUGUAAACUGCUUUUGUACGGAACGAAAAGGUUUGACUUAAUACGUUGGACUCAUGACGGUACCGUAAGAAUAAGCACCGGCUAACUACGUGCCAGCAGCCGCCGUAA
rnacentral:rRNA from 1 species